UUUGCUGGACACGAAGGUGGGAAAUCUGAAUGGGAUAGGGAAUUCCCAGCAAGGUUUUGCCUUGUGAAGUUGGCUCCUCCAGGAUAUGGGAACGAGAAGUGACUUCUACCAGUAACAGCUGGGUAGAAGGCUGUGGAUGAUGCAGCCUAGAAAUUUCCUUAAGAAAAAACCUUAUGGCCUAACCACUCUGAAGCCAAUAGUAAAACUCUUCACUGGCUUUAGCACUGCCAAGAUCUAAGCCCCAAAAUAAAGUCAAUAUCAAGGAAGG